GUUAAUGAGAGAGAGAGAGCGUUACAAAGAGAGAGAUGAGAGGUGUUGGGUUUGCGCCCGACAUAGCGGUUUCCUUGAUGACCAAAGAGCUCAAUUUUAGUCUUAAUUGACCAGAGUACUUUCUUCCAUAUGUUUGCAGAGUCUCCCACCUGCUUUUGGCAUCAGACAGGAGACGCGUCCAACCAUGAUAUGUACUGAGAACCUGAGCCCUAGGACCAUGCCUCAGGACUACCUGGCCUGGUGACGCCUAGCUGUACCCAGUCCACCUGGCUGUGCUGCUGCUCCAGUUGCAACUGUUCUGCCUGCGGCUAUGGAACCCUGACAUGUUCACCGGACUUGCUACCUGUCCCAGACCUGCUGUUUUCAACUCUCUAGAGACAGCAGGAGCGGUAGAGAUACUCUGAAUGAUCGGCUAUGAAAAGCCAACUGACAUUUACUCCUGAGGUGCUGCCCUGUUGUACCCUCGACAACCACUGUGAUUAUUUGCCCCUGUUGGUCAUCUAUGAACAUUUACACAUCUUGACCAUGUUCUGUAAUAAUCUCAACCCGGCACAUCUAGAAGAGGACUGGUCACCCCUCAUAGCCUGGUUCCUCUCUAGGUUUCUUCCUAGGUUCUGGCCAUUCUAGGAAGUUUUUCCGAGCCACUGUGCUUCUACACCUGCAUUGCUUGCUGUUUGGGCUUUUAGGCUGGGUUUCUGUACAGCACUUUGAGAUAUCAGCUGAUGUAAGAAGGACUUUAUGAAUAAAUUUGAUUUUGAUUUGAUUUAUUUAAGCUUUUAUUUCUUUCAUCACAUUCCCAGUGGGUCAGAAGUGUACAUACACUCAAUUCGUAUUUUGUAGCAUUAACUUUAAAAUUGUUUAAUUUGGGUCAAACAUUUCGGGUAGCCUUCCACAAACUUCCCACAAUAAGUUGGGUGAAUUUUGGCCCAUUCCUCCUGACAGAGCUGGUGUAACUGAGUCGGGUUUGUAGGCCUCCUUGCUCGCACACGCUUUUUCAGUUCUGCACCAACAUUUUCUAUACGAUUGAGGUCAAGGCUUUGUGAUGGCCACUCCAAAACCUUGACUUUGUUGUCCUUAAGCCAUUUUGACACAACUUUGGAAGUAUGCUUUGGGGUCAUUGUCCAAUUGGAAGACCCAUUUGCAAACAAGCUUUAACUUCCUGCCACCCCGUGCUUCAUGGUUGGGAUGGUGUUCUUUGACUUGCAAGCCUCCCCCUUUUUCCUCCAAACAUAAUGAUGGUCAUUAUGACCAAACAGUUCUAUUUUUGUUUCAUCAGACCAGAGGUCAUUUCUCCAAAAAUUACGAUAUUUGUCCCCAUGUGGAGUUGCAAACCUUCUGGCUGUUUUACGGCAGUUUUGGAGCAGUGGCUUCUUCCUCGCUGAGCGGCCUUUCAGGUUAUGCUGAUGUAGGACUCGUUUUACUGUGGAUAUAGAUACCUUUGUACCUGUUUCCUCCAGCAUCUUCACAAGGUCCUUUGCUGUUGUUCUGGGAUUGAUUUGCACUUUUCGCACCAAAAUACGUUCAUCUCUAGGAGACAGAAGGCGUUUAGCCUAUCAGAAGCUUCUAAAGCCAUGACUUCAGUUUCUGGAAUUUUCCAACCUGUUUAAAGACACAGUCAACUUAGUAUAUGUACAUUUCUGACCCGCUGGAUUGGUGAUACAGUGAAUUAUAUGUGAAAUAAUCUGUCUGUAAACAAUUGUUGGAAAAGUUACUUGUGCAAUGCACAAAGUAGAUGUCUUAACCGACUUGCCAAAACUAUAGUUUGUUAAACAAGAAAUUUAUGGAGUGGUUGAAAAACAAGUUUUAAUGACUCCAACCUAAGUGUAUGUAAACUUCCGACUGCAACUGCACAUAAUGCUUCAGUAAUGUCUUAUGAGAAGAUAUUGAUGCAUUAUACCCAUUCAUAUCAGAGGUUCAACAGCACAUUUAAAUGUUUUCAUUAUCAUUCCUAAUGACAGUGCUACUCUGAACAGUGAUUUAAAUGUAUUGAUUCUGUAGUUUAGUUUAGUUCUUUUGUUUGAAAGUAAAAGCUACGAAGGCCCAAAUGGUACCCUAUUCCCUAUACAGUGCACAUACAUUAAAUAAAUGAUUAAAUGUUACUUAUUUCA